ACUCGAGUGGCGAACGGGUGAGUAACACGUGGGUGAUCUGCCUUGCACUUCGGGAUAAGCUUGGGAAACUGGGUCUAAUACCGGAUAGGACAGCUGUUUAGUGUCAGUUGUGGAAAGUUUUUUCGGUGCAAGAUGAGCUCGCGGCCUAUCAGCUUGUUGGUGGGGUAAUGGCCUACCAAGGCGUCGACGGGUAGCCGGCCUGAGAGGGUGUACGGCCACAUUGGGACUGAGAUACGGCCCAGACUCCUACGGGAGGCAGCAGUGGGGAAUAUUGCACAAUGGGCGGAAGCCUGAUGCAGCGACGCCGCGUGGGGGAUGAAGGCCUUCGGGUUGUAAACUCCUUUCGACAGGGACGAAGCGUAAGUGACGGUACCUGUAUAAGAAGCACCGGCUAACUACGUGCCAGCAGCCGCGGUAAUACGUAGGGUGCGAGCGUUGUCCGGAAUUACUGGGCGUAAAGAGCUCGUAGGUGGUUUGUCGCGUCGUCUGUGAAAUUCCGGGGCUUAACUCCGGGCGUGCAGGCGAUACGGGCUGACUUGAGUGCUGUAGGGGAGACUGGAAUUCCUGGUGUAGCGGUGAAAUGCGCAGAUAUCAGGAGGAACACCGAUGGCGAAGGCAGGUCUCUGGGCAGUAACUGACGCUGAGGAGCGAAAGCAUGGGUAGCGAACAGGAUUAGAUACCCUGGUAGUCCAUGCCGUAAACGGUGGGCGCUAGGUGUAGGGGGCUUCCACGUCUUCUGUGCCGUAGCUAACGCAUUAAGCGCCCCGCCUGGGGAGUACGCCGCAAGG
rnacentral:rRNA from 1 species